CCGAGCGCCGGGAGCGGGCGCCCAAGUGCGGGGAGCAGCGGUACAGUGCCCACCCGGCCCGGCCCCGUCACGACCCCGGCCCCCUGGUCAUCCGGGGCUCCCGGACCCAACAUGAUCUCCCCGAUCAUCCGGAGCUCCCACACCCAACACGUCCCCCCUCGAUCAUCGGGGCUCCCCGAUCAUCCGGGCCGCGCGGAUGAAGAAUAAAAAUGAUCUUGGCUGCACGAUUUGGUAUAUUCUCAGCAACUAGGUUUUUGGGGACACGGCGACAUCUAAGCAGGACACCCAGAAAUGGGGGUUUUUACCCGGUGACAUUUGACCAGGAGGCCCCAGUCCACCGUGGCCGGGGCACGCCACUCUGCUAAGAAGCAGUCUAACUAGUGCAGACUCCACACUGCAUUCUUACUGGCUUUUCUGCUUCAGGAGCUCUGU